CUCCUGUACAGCCUGGGGAACAAAAGUCAGGCCAUCCAUCUUGACAUAUGCAGAUUUGAAGAUGAUGUGGGAGAGGAAAGAAAGGGCGAGGAAAUUUAUGUUCUAUCCUCAGAAGCUGACUCAUGGACCAAGCAGGUAGAACUAAGGGUCUUUCCACAGCAAACCUGAGAAAUACUGAGAUAAAAAUAUCUCUGGACUGGACCCAAGAUUCAGAAGAACUGCAUUCAAGCCCCAGCUUCACCAAAAUACCAUGUGA
rnacentral:lncRNA from 1 species